UGCGCACCGGGACACCGAAAGGCCCCGGCAGCUUUAAGAGGCGGGGCUAGCUGCUGCCCUAUUCCCUGGGCCCGCCCACAGCCGCCUUACGCGCCCGAUACGUCACCUCCCCAUCCCGAGGCCCCGCCAGCCUACGCGAUGACGCAAGCACGCAGAGCCGGGGACGCCCCGCCCUCUUGGCCGGCGCCCGGCGAGUUCCCGCAGAGUGGAGAGAGUGCUGUCCCUGGCCUGACCGCCUGAUACUCUCACAGACGCAAAGGAAUAUUGUUACUCCCUCAAUAAACGACUUUUCCCUAA